rnacentral:rRNA from 1 species
UACGAAGGGGGCUAGCGUUGUUCGGAUUUACUGGGCGUAAAGCGCACGUAGGCGGAUCGUUAAGUCGGGGGGUGAAAUCCUGGAGCUCAACUCCAGAACUGCCUUCGAUACUGGCGAUCUUGAGUCCGGAAGAGGUGAGUGGAACUCCUAGUGCAGAGGUGGAAUUCGUAGAUAUUGGGAAGAACACCGGUGGCGAAGGCGGCGACCUGGUCCAUUACUGACGCUGAGGCGCGACAGCGUGGGGAGCAAACAGG